rnacentral:lncRNA from 1 species
CUGAAUUAUCACCUUUUUUUCUCAGAAGGUUCUGUGCUGAGGGUAAAUUGUCAGGAGGUCUAAGUUAGCCAUGGCUGUGUUAGCUUAGCCGUCUUUACUAUCCAUGGCCACUGUCCUAGCCUCGCCAGGCUUCUCUUGGCAAGUCUGUGGCUUUGAGUCUAUGAGUCCACAGCACUGAGCCUGGUUCUACUUCUUACUGGGUCUGUGAUCUUGGUGCUUCUGAAUCUCUCUAAGACUCAGUUUCCUCAAAAGGAGAGGCACUGUGAUAGCUGUACUCGCCUUACAAGUUAUAUAUAUAUAUAUUGAGCACCUACUCUGUCAGGCAUGCUGUAAACGUGCACUAGAAUCCUCAUAACAAUCCUAAAGGCAGGAUUCUAACGUCAUCAACAAGGAAAAACAUUCUAUUUUCUCCAGGGAGGCAAUGCUUUUCCUAAAAAGUUGAGAAUUUAGACCUGGACUUGGCUGAGCUGUUUUACUGAUUUUUGCAAGAGCAAGAGUAAGGUGACCCAUGCAGGGAAAAUCAUCCUAGACUAAACUUCUAAAACCAUACGUGUUGCCUAUCGGUUAUAACCCAGGUGGGGCAUCUUUUCUGCUGCGACAUGUGUACCCGUCAGCCAACGUGUGAUGAGCUCUCACGUUCAGACCUUGGUCUGUCAGCUGUCACCACUCCCUUAUCUCAUGCUGGAAAGGCACACCAAAAUACAGAGAACUUUCAGAAAGGCACCAUCGGUCUUGAGCUGGAAGCCCGCCUUUUAGGUUUUGAAGAGAGAAGAGGUGGAGGAGGAUGUGUGCUCCAUGAAGACGUGUUCACAGACUCUAACUUGCUAUGGAGUGGCCAGAGGGCUCGACGAAGAUGCCAACUGCCUUCAGAUGUCUCCAGCUCCUAUCACGGCUGUGUGAAGCUAUAGGCUGUGGUAAAGACCAACCAGGGGAGAACAAGCAAAGGCCAUUUAUUCAGAGGCUGCUGUAUCAGGGGAGUCAGCCACCCACACAUGUCUUAUGGAAAGCUGCUUCUGCCCCAACCCUGUUUUAGCUAGUCUUCAGUUUAAUCUGAUAUCCGGUACCACCUCCUACCCCAUUUCUACCCAUCUUAGGUUCAUUGGCUGGGACGCCUGUGACAAAAGACAGAUUAACAAGAGAAAGGUACACAAAUUUAUUUAAUAUGUGUUAUGUGACACAGGAGCCUUCAAAAGGAAAUGAAGUUCUGAAGAAACAGCUAAACCUGAAUGGUUUUUGUCGUAGAUUUGAGAAGAAUGAAGCAUUGUGGGAAAAUAUGACAAAGUAAAGAAAAAGAAUGAGAGAAAUGUAAUAAAUCGGGGAAUCUUAGAAAAGCCUGUUUGCUCAGAUUACUCUCUGUGUCCCUUCAAAGAGAUAAUACCCAAUGCUUGUUUCCCCUGUGUAUAGGGAGGACCCCUCGCACAAAAGGGUUUUGAUCUGCUUCAAGGGAAGGUCAGACAGAGAGUCUUUUCCUGUCCAUGUACUUUCUCAAAUUCCUUCAGCUUAAAAUCAACAUGUCAAGGUGCCAUACUUUAAAGUAGUGAUAUGGUUUGGAUCUGUGUCCCCACCAAAUCUCCUGUUGAAUUAUAAUCCCCAGUGUUGGAGGUGGGGCCUAGUGAGAAGUGAUUGGGUCAUGGGAGUGGAGUUGUCAUGAAUAAGUUAGCACUACCCUCUCAGUCCUGUUCUCCUGAUAGCGUGUGAGUGAGUUAUCAUGAGAUUUAGUUGCUUAAAAGUCGGUAGCACCUCCCCAACCUUCCUCCUGCCCUGGCCAUGUGAAGUGUCGGCUCCUCGACUUUGCCUCCCGCCAUAAUUGUAAGUUUCCUAAGGCCUCCCCAGAAGCUGAUGCCGCCAUUCUUUCCGGACAGCCUGCAGGAUUGUGAGCCAAUUAAGCCUUUUUUCUUUAUAAAUGAUGCAGUCUCAGGCAUUUCUUUAUAGCAAUAAAAGAAUAGACUAAUACAGGUAGUAUGUGCUGAAACUCAUCGCAGGUUAUCAAAAAAUGACCAGGAAGGGUAUGGUAACCUAGGGUUGUUUAAUAGGUCUUGUGAUGCCGAUUUUAGCCUGGCCUUCUUCAUUGGUAAGAGUUGUUAAGCAUCUUCUUUCUGGCACAGGAGAGGGAGACAUCUUUUCCAAAUGUAAAUUUCCUUUACAAAAGGAAGACGUAUUAGAGCUUUUCCUGGAUCUACUGGUUCUCAAUGGCCUUUAGUUCAAAAUUGUCCAUAUGCCAAAGAGGCAUAUUUUGGGUGGCAUGCUUUGCUACCCUUCAAAGCCAAAUCUGCACUCCUACCUGAUCACAUAAGACACCUUGCUUCCACCAGUGUGCCACAUCAGUUUACCAUUGUCAUGGCAACACCCAGGAGUUACUGCCCCUUUCCAUGACAAUGAUCUGGUGACCCAAAAGUUACUACCCCUUCCCUAGAAAUUUCUGCAUAAACCACUCCUUAAUCUGCAUGCAAUUAAAGGUAGGUAUAAAUAUGACUGCAAAACUGCCCUGAGCUGCUACCCUGACUGUGGGGUAGCCCUGCUCUGCAGGAGCAGUCACGGAG